rnacentral:sRNA from 1 species
UACUGGUCAAAAGUUGUUGUCGCUCUCCUGAUGAGUCCAAGGCUGGACGAAGUCACGAAACCAGUU